GAUGAACGCUGGCGGCGUGCCUAAUACAUGCAAGUCGAGCGAACAGACGAGGAGCUUGCUCCUCUGACGUUAGCGGCGGACGGGUGAGUAACACGUGGAUAACCUACCUAUAAGACUGGGAUAACUUCGGGAAACCGGAGCUAAUACCGGAUAAUAUAUUGAACCGCAUGGUUCAAUAGUGAAAGACGGUUUUGCUGUCACUUAUAGAUGGAUCCGCGCCGCAUUAGCUAGUUGGUAAGGUAACGGCUUACCAAGGCGACGAUGCGUAGCCGACCUGAGAGGGUGAUCGGCCACACUGGAACUGAGACACGGUCCGGGCUCCUACGGGAGGCAGCAGUAGGGAAUCUUCCGCAAUGGGCGAAAGCCUGACGGAGCGGCGCCGCGUGAGUGGUGAAGGUCUUCGGAUCGUAAAACUCUGUUAUUAGGGAGAAACAAAUGUGUAAGUAACUAUGCACGUAUUGACGGUACCUAGUCAGAAAGCCACGGCUAACUACGUG
rnacentral:rRNA from 1 species